GAGUUGUGGGCGUUGUGGCUGAGGAAAUUGUUUUGGUAAUUUUAUUAAGUACUUAUGCUUUGUUGAGAGCACAGUGUAAAUACUUUUUCGGGUGCUGGUUUGCUGACAAGCACUUUAUGUAUACCUAAUCUUUUGGUAUCGUGGGCUGGACCCCUAGCAAUUAUCAGGAAUCAGAUUUUCCUAGAUUUUAUUUUUGUCUUUUGGAAUUGCGUCACUGAACCCAGACAAUUUAACCUAAAUUGGAAAUAGAGCAAAUGGCUCUCGAUCACCAUUUUGUGACCUUAGCAUUAAGCAAGUGUUUCCUUUUUGUUUUGUUUUACAGAUUAUUUCACAAGAAACGUUCAAGUUCGUAUAUACUGCGCUAGUUUAGAUUUUCGUAGAAACUGUAAAUAUUACUUUUAGUUAACAAAGCACUGACGUGAAUUAGGCUAAGCAUAAUACACCGUAUUAGCGUUUCAGCCAAAUCUCUGAGAAUUGAGACGUUCAGCCGAUAGCCAUUUUGCGGUACCCAGAAUGUAAACAGACCGUGUCUGCGUGCAUCUGUGCAACUUGGGCUGUUGCCGUCCCUGUCGCUCGCACCCAGCAGUAUGUAGGUCACCGAGGAGCUUAUCGGUCACAGGUCACCUGUCUCGCUCGCACGCCGUGAGCCUGUGCACUAGCCCCAGUGUUGUAUGAGACGCCGCGGGGCGCGCACGUCUCCCGUGAUAUGAGCCCGCGCAUGCGUACAAACGUAUUACGUACAGUGUAAUCAGCUGAUUGUCAUUGUUUUCUAUAUUAUUAUUUUCAAUUGUGAUCUCAGUGCUGUGAUAUAAAGAUGGGUCAGGCGUUCGGUACGACGAAUUCGCACAAUGACGAGCAGAGACAUUAUACCAGAAAAGAAAUAGGUAAGAACAGUCGGACGCAGGAGCGUGAGUAGCGACGCGAAUUACAUCACGGCCCACUCAUAUCUCAUGCAAUUUACAACUUUAUUGCAUGAUAGUAAUAAAGUCCUAAUUUAUCUACCUUACACAAGUUCCUUACUACCUUUAUUGUCAAUUUGUACAUUCCUUUGAAAUAAACUCGUAGGUUACAAAAAGGUUAUGAGGUCAAAGGGAAAAUCACUCCAAAAUUCUUGGAUGUCUCCUUUGUUACCUUUCAGGUAAUGAAAGAUAUCAUUUCAUAUUCAGGAAUAUUUGUUAAAUCAUAAGCAUGUUACAUUUGUAAUAUUCGAAACAAUUUCGUUUGAUCAAAACAGUAUCGUUCGGAAAAUUUGAUAUGAUCUGCAAAGCUGUUUUAUAUAAUAUUUAAAUGUGAAACAAUGCAGUUAUCAAAAGUGAGCACGUAGUAACCCUCACAGCCGGCAGGGUAUCGAACCCCGCCGGGGUGCCAGCGCGGUUGGCAGGCGACUGCGACAGUUUGGCAUCCCGCCGGCUCGCCGUGCCAGCCCUAGGCUAGCUUAUUGCAUUCCCCGGCGCACAACUAUGCUCGUCGAUGCACUAACCUUAUACGCUGAUGCAUCGCGCAAACUGCUAUUAUGACAGUUAUUUUAUUAAACUUUACAUAUUUAAUCCAAGUUGACAAUUUCAUUUAGAAAUACUUUGUUUAUAUGCAAAACUUUUAACUUCUAUCAAUUUGAAUUCGUCCAUUUUGAAUUUAAUUUCAUUUGACUUGUGCAACCUAAAUACGUAGAACAAGAGAAGGUUGUUUUCAAAUAAAUUACUCAAAACUCACGUGUUUUUAAACAAGACUCUAUGACGUUUAAGACAUAUUAAUAGAUUCAGUGCUGUCAAGAGUAAAUAAUACAAUAUAAGUUUGCGUGUCCGUCGUGUUAGCAGACUGGCAACUGUCAAUAACCGUCCGGAGCGUACGUGUGACAUUGACACAGUGACUAUUGUAGAGCUAACUCGAUGCUGUUCAAAACGUCUAUAAAAAAUCAGUCAGUCAGUCAUGUUCGAGUCGGACUCGCCACGCCGAAAGUUCUGUACAAAUAAUACAAAGAGGUUUAUACCCGUGAAAAAAAAAAUGGUCCUCCGACAUAUUUCUGAAUAUGCCAAAUGUUGCUUAACUUAAUAGCCCUUUAUAAUUAACACCAACUGUACUGCACUGCUCAGUACCUACAGGUGAAGUCAGUGAGAUUAGUGUCAGCUAUUCUAGUUGAUUACAUUCAGGUGGACUCGUCCAUUUAUCACGGCGUCAAACGAAUGGAGUCUUCCUCGCAAUUAGGUUUGAUAAUCGCAUCACCUGACGCGUGGAAGCCUGAUAAAUCAUGGACAAGGCUAGCGUUGUUUUUAAAUAGCUAACGAGGAAAAUUUAUAACAGCGCCGCUGCCUUUGAGAUUAAAAAUAUUUAUAAUUCUAUUGUUGGAGAGCUCUUUGAGUUGUGAAUAGUCGGUCGAGAAAUAUAGCCUUUAGGAGAAAUUAAUAAGAGAACGUGAACUAAAACUAGGUAUCGUUUUGUCCAUUGUAAUUUUUUUAUCACCCAUAAUUAUUGAAACAUUUUUAAUCAGUGUUAUUAGUAUGCUAUAGCUUUAAAUUCUAAUUGUUUUAAUAAAUAAAUUAUGUGAACGAGACCGUUUAUAUCCUCCCAAUGUAACAACCCUACAAGAGUACUUCGAAGUUAGUUCUUAGAUGACUUAGGGUCAGGCACUUUUGGCACAGACACCCUUAAACUGAAGCUAUUUUAUGUAAUGUUUUUGUAGAUAUCGCUCGAUAGAACGGUGUUAGGCAGAAUUUCCUAAAGUGGAAAUUGAGUAUUAGAAGGCAAGAUAUUAGUACUUUUCCAAUCCUUUCUUGUAAUAAUAUGCCAAUGUUAAACAAUUAGAACCGUAUUAGAUCCGUAUCAGCCCGUCUCAAUGCUUGCCCUAUACUCGCACAAUAAGAAAAAACGGCGUAAUGCUAAUGAAUACAGAUGUUCAGAGGAAAUAGCGCGAUAGUGUGCCCGACAUCCCUAUGCACGUGUGAAUUGAAAUAUGGUGCAGGAAACAGGAAUGUGUAUCGAUCGUGCCUUUCCGUAGCUUUGUGCUCUCUCAAAUAGUUCUGCAACUGUGUAAAACGUUAAAAUAGGUUAUGUGCGAGUAUUCGUGUUCAGAACUAUUGUUCAAUGUUCAGAUUGUGACUUAAUGACCAAACAGCACAUUCAUUUAAUCUGAAUGAAUGUUUCCGUGAAAUAUUAUCAGGCAUGAUUCAUAGGAAAACAGAUUAAAACCUUAGUUCCAGGAACUGAGCAGGAAAACAAAGUGUCUUUAACAUUAUUCAGAAACAAAAAGCUGAACGAGCACCGAGCAUCUUUCUUCAUCAAAAUUAAACGCUUUUAAUCAAACUCGCUCUCAAAACACACUUUUCCGAACCAUUAAAAAGAAUAACAACGCUCAGAAUACGCGGGAACUCAAGAAAAAUACAGCCAUUAUGGGAGCACUCCCCAUAAUAGAUUCACGCGACUCUGCCCACCGCACCGCACCGCGCGCGCUGGCUCCAUCCUUCAAACCAUCAGCAGCAGGGCAUUAUUUUUAAGUUUUCCACUUAUUUGUCUUUCAGCAGUCUCCCAGGAUUUACGAUCUUGCCCGCCCGUUUGGAAAUCUGUAAAUAAUCUAACUUUUCGCCCCAGCUAUUUCGCUGUCAUUCGAGAGAAGUCUUAUUAAAUAAGUUUAAGGCACUCCUUAUAGUUAAAGAAUUAAGUAUGUUGCCUUUUUGUUGUUCGCCUUUGUUGACUUUGGGGCUUACGUUCAUGUUUUGUGUGCAGCCCUUUGAUGUGUGGUUAUUAAAAGUUCGCCUUGUUAUUAUUUACCUUGUAUUUUAUUUGUGCACGAAUGUGGAAUCGCUACGGUGCUGACAAUGGUGGCAGAGUUGCGUUGUUUCUUAUUCUUACUCAACUCUGUUGUUUCAUUUAUGUUCUGAAUUGCUUUUGCAUUUGAUAACUUUCCAAGAUUAGAAAAUGUCGUUGCUUAAAUUCUACAAUAGUUACGAAAUAAACUCCAUGUACGUGAAAAUCUCAUUAACAUUCGCAUAAAUGUAUUAAUAACUCCAUGCUCGUUAAACAUAAGAUUAGCACAAACUUAGUGAAAUUCCAAUAGUAUUACAGCGACGGAAAUAGUUUUGGUAGGUAUUUCAACCGAAAUAGUUACAUCUUCAACUAACUUUGUAUUUGCUUAAUAAUUGUGUGUGAUCUCGGUGAUGACGCGGAGAUGUGACGCUAACUAAAUAUUGACAAUUGUUGCCCUUGUAGGGAUGUUAAACUCAUUAGUGGCUGAGUUCCGCAGUAUAUUAUGAUUAAUAUACAUUUUUAAAGUAAAUUUUCGUAUUGUCAUGUUUCAAACCAAUUGUUCAGUUUCACAUUUUCCACACACGUUUUAUUUUGUUGUUGCGACUCUACAUUCGCAAUCAACAACCGUCACUUUGGAGUGCUUCACACUAAAAGCCUCAAAAAGCUCGGACUGAUGAAACUCACUAAUUUAUUGGACACACGAGGCUUCGCGUAAUAUUGCCGGCUUAAGUUUAAUGUUUACCUUUCUUUCAUUCUAACACGACUGUAUUUCGUGAAGAAAAAGUAGCAUUGAUGUAAGAACAUCAUUACUGGUAGUUUAAAGUCAUUUGUGUAAGUGACAACCCUUGUGUACUCUUGUAGUGACGUCAUUGCCUCGCCACUAGUGCUGUGCUGCUCACAAACAAACCAAUUGGUUUGCAGACAUGUCGAACCGAGCGCGGGAUUAUGACUCGCACAUUUUCGAUAUUCGAGUAACUACCGCGAAAACAAUCGCUUGUUAUAAAUGUAAAUUGUUGUGAAUUGUGUCACUUACCUGCAGAUUCGGAAUUUCCUAGUUCUCUGUUUGGUGCGUUACUCAUAACAGGUUAUAUCGGAAAGUUGCUCUACUAUGUUUUCAGGGUUAUAUGGACUGAAUAAAAGAGAUUUGUAAAAUCUUAUGUGAAAAAUUGCUCAGGUGCCGAUUUUUAUGAAAAUCCGCACACAUUUUUUCUUUAGCAUAAAUAUGAGAAAAGUAAUUCUGUCUUGUCUCGGUAAACGUAAUUAAUUAUAGCCUGGACUAGUGUGCAGCGUAGGUCAAGCGAAGUAAUUAGAUUUUAUUGUUCCGUAGCUAGAUCUAAAUUACACCCGAGUACUAGAGGUUACUUGCAGACGUUUGUAGCUAAAUGGCUAGAGCUGGCGAUCGAUUGGAUUGCGAGGUUAAGCCGCUUUCGUAGCGGUCGCCACUUUGAUAGGUCAACUCUUUUUACUGAGAUACCAAUUAUGUAAAUAUAUGUAGAUAAUCUCUACGGACUUUAUUUUAAGAUUUAUAAGAAGACUGCUGGGAAAAGGUCUUCUAUAUUUCUGUCUGCUCAGAGUAACUUUUACAAAAAUACUAAGUGCAGCUUGAAACAUCGUUUUUGAGUUUAGCAUUUAAUAUCUUACAUUAUUCGUAAGUAUAAAUCAUAACUUACGAAGGUCGCUUCUUAAAACAUUAAUUGACGUCGAUCCGAACAUUAUUCGUAUCAUUAAACAAUAAUUAUGUAGAUCUCUCCAUACAUUACGGACGUGUACACAGAAUCCGGCUUCAAUAAGGAAUCACUCGAUUCCGAGAAUGACUCGUUUGGAUUUCCAAGAAAUUUUACUGAAAAUUAACUGUGAUUUACUACAAUACAGAUUUUUUAUUUUAUUAAGUCAAGUUAGAAUACUAUCCAAAUGGGUUAACUAAACAUUUCAUGACAUAGCUUAAUAAAUCAUUGGCGAUAUAAUGUGUAAUAUUUAAUUAAUAAGCUGGUAUGUGCAGAGGUGCUUCGAACCUGAAGGAAUUUAUUGAUUUUGAUGUCGCAAAUUAAUUGCUCACUUAAUAUGUGGGAGAGUAAAACAUACUUCCUUUUAUCACGUAGGUUCAACUACCAUACUUUAAAAACGUUGUUAACUUGGUGUUAAAUGUGCUUCACCAAGAAACGUACAUUUCGCAAGAAACUAACUAAAUUCCCGCUAACUGCACCUUUGUUUUAAUUAAAUAUUAUUCGCGAGAGAAAAACGCGUCUUGUCCCGGCGAAUAUAUUUUAUCCUUAAAGGCUCGUUGUGUAAAUGCACCCCCUUACCUUGGUUCCUGGUUUUCCCGCGGCGGCGGCGGCCGGCGUGCUCCCUGCCGCCUGCCGGCCGCGGCAGUCGCCGUCGGGCGCUGGUCGCGGCCGGUCGCGUCGCCGCGCUAACCCCCGCCGCUCCGAACACAAACCUCCUACUGUAACAGAGGGCGUCAUCACAAUCAUCUCGAAUCGCGCGCUAUUAAGGUUCCCCAACAAUACUAUUGUCAACUUCCAGUGUAUGUUUAUUAUUAUGCAUUACUAAACUGGCUGUGGUUUUAUGAAUCGUUAAACGGUUGAGUGCCAGGUAUAAAGGGACUGUAUUAAUCACUACAUAAGCUUGUAAAGGCAUUAUUAAGUUACGUAUUUACUAAUGUGAGUUUGAUUAACAACGGCAUCGCAACAACACAAAGACACUCGAGAACUUUGUUCAAGUUUUGAUAAAUUUUCCUCUACAUUGUAAUUUGUUUUAAGUUUGACUACUUCAAGCUAAUUAACUGUCAAAAAAACUAUGAAUCUUCGUGCAAAAAAACUUGCGUUAUAAUAUUAAGUUUUUUUAAACUCGAAUUGACCUUACAACAGCGUAUAAAUGGUAUAAAGUAAUGCGACCUAAGUGUCGGAAUGACCUCAAACAAAACAUUCCGAAAGAAAGUACAAACAGUUUAAUUAAAAACUCCACAAUGGUAUUGUAAGUGGCAUUUUCGUAAAAACUGUCUCAAGGAGACUCGUCAGGAACCCGGAAAUAUAAUAAUAUCGCGUUUUGGUCGUUGUUAUUGCAGGAAUUUCCUUGAUGCGUCGCUCCCGACGUUUUUCGCAGUAAAAUCUUCGAUAUUCACUCGUCGAGUUUUAUCGAUGCAUAAAACAUUUGAUUGUUGCUCAUAAGAAGCUGAAAGUUAUUUAUUUUUAUGCUCCUACGUGUUUAAAACACAGAAAUGCUUGUUUCACGUUUUAGUGGGUGCAAGACAGCACUUGCUUUUGUUUUUAUGGUUUCUUACUGAAAUUUCCUUAAACUCUCUGACCACUUAAGAGCUUAUAUUGAAGUUCCUAAAGUAAGGUUAGAAGUGACCUCAAUAUUUCUGUGAGUCUUCAUCUAUAUUUUGCUCCACUUGGUGUAAUGGAACAGCUCAGUUUUGAACAUCUUGCACAUCCUUCCUUUGUUCUCAGUACGAUUGUCACUUUUCAUUGUCUUUCCGACAUCCUUUGCAUGGACAAUGUUUUCCCCUUCAGUUUUAGCAAAUAUAGUUUCAUUGUGAACCUGUUGACAAUUACCCUUAUGUGCUGUAGUUUCUUUGACGUGGAAAUCAAUCCUGACACCAUAUUUUUAGUGCUGAAAAAUAGAAAGAACUUUAACAAUGCAACUUCCUUAUCUAAACUGCGUUGAAUAGUGGACUUAUGAUACUCUUAAUCAAUGAAGUCUGUAGAGACUGCAGUAAUCAGCUGAGCACAGAAAGCCGACACUUACGUAAAAACUAAUAUUUGACGACCUGAUUGGCUCAGUGCCUAAACGUUCUAAGCUAAACGCUACGGCUUCAAUUUGAUCCUUUGAUUAAUCGCGUUUGGCAAACAUUGCCAUGAACAAGUCAAUUUACCUUUCGCUGCUUAUAAACAAAGUAUUUACUGUUAAGAUUUCUCCAUUCCUAAUUUAGUACUCUUUUUUGGGCACUCAUUCUCUUUCCAGUGAUUUCGUGUACAGCUAUUUGUAAAACUUCAAAAUAUCAAAAUAGAAUCAACCAUCACAACUGAAAUGUCUUUAUAAACAAUAACCAGUUUGCACAUGACGGACACACAAAGGCUUCAGCCGCUGAAUCCAUUAAAACAUAUAAACAACAAGAGCUCGAAACAAGAGUUUCGCGUAACAAGUGAGUCGUACUCGGAGUACCCGGCGUGCCCGGAGUACACGCACACAGACACACGUGCAUUGUAGGCGCGGGGUCGUUGCCCCAAGGUGUCGUUCCGUGUCUUUAUUUCCGGAUCCGGUGGCGCUGCCGCCGGGUACGGACCGCAUCCGGCGCCGGAUAGUUUCCGCCGUUAUCACACACCGCAUAGAUACGAAAAAAAUAGUUUCAUAAAUAAUUGUGAACCUUUGAAGGUUUCACGGAGAUAUUUCAGUUUUUUUCCAUAUUCAAUGUAAAAAGGUUUUGUUAUUCUCUCGUCUGUAGACACGAAAACUUUGAGCAGACAUAAUAUAUUUAAGAUGGGAAUAUUUAUAUAUUCGCAUUUAUAAAGUAGCUGUAACUAAAGGUAAUGUAAAACUUCUCUAGACGAGUGACGUGUUGUGAUAACUCCGUAAUGAAUAUCGUUUGGCUUUGCAAUUAAUUGCGUUUAAUAAGAUUUAAACUCAAUUUGAAGAUUUAUUGUUUCAUCUCGUAGUAACGAACUCUAGUCUAGAGUUUGAUUAGGUAUUCAUUAAAAUGUUGUUUACGAAAAA